rnacentral:sRNA from 1 species
UAAACCAAUUCAGCUGACGAAGACUGAA